AUAAUAUUUGUUCUCCGAGCCUUUGCACCUAAAUCAUGGUUAAGAUAUGGGGCAGGGGCCGAUUCGGGCAGGGAAAGAAAUGAACCUGCCUCCUCGUGCUUGGAAAGGAGAAAUGCCAAUUCUUUA
rnacentral:ncRNA from 2 species